rnacentral:ncRNA from 1 species
AAAAUCCUGCUUGGAAAGACUCUAGCCAAGUCACCAAUAGCGAGUCUUGGACGGAUGGGAGUAAUUCCAUGCGUUAAGCGUAGACAGUCAGGUAGCAGGCCUGAAUGUGAUGGAGCCUCGAAACGAGUAAAACGGGAAGGUUGACGGCGUCGAAAUACUGGAAAACUACAUCCGGCCUCAUCGUUACAGGCAAGAGAGGCAGGACUUCCCCGGGGUCGAAGAGCC